GAUGAACGCUGGCGGCGUGCCUAACACAUGCAAGUCGAACGGAGAUUACGGACGGAAGUUUUCGGAUGGAAGACUGUAAUUCUUAGUGGCGGACGGGUGAGUAACGCGUGGGCAACCUGCCCUAUACAGGGGGAUAGCAGCUGGAAACGGCUGGUAAGACCGCAUAAGUCGGUUAAAUCGCAUGAUUUGAUCGGGAAAUGAGCAAUCAGGUAUAGGAUGGGCCCGCGUCCGAUUAGCCAGUUGGCAGGGUAAAAGCCUACCAAAGCGACGAUCGGUAGCCGGACUGAGAGGCCGGACGGCCACAUUGGGACUGAGACACGGCCCAAACUCCUACGGGAGGCAGCAGUGGGGGAUAUUGCACAAUGGAGGAAACUCUGAUGCAGCGACGCCGCGUGAGUGAAGAAGUAUUUCGGUAUGUAAAGCUCUAUCAGCAGGGAAGAUGAUGACGGUACCUGACUAAGAAGCCCCGGCUAACUACGUG
rnacentral:rRNA from 1 species